rnacentral:ncRNA from 1 species
UUAAUACUUCGGGGCAAGGUGUGAUUCCUUGAUCGGCGGUUAUAGUCCGCGAACCUACGGGUUGAGCUAGUGUAAUUCUAGUACCGACAGUUAUAGUCUGGAUGGGAGAAGAAAUGU